rnacentral:misc_RNA from 1 species
UCGCGGCUUAUCACCGGCAGUCCCCUUAGAGUGCCCAACUGAAUGAUGGCAACUAAGGGCGAGGGUUGCGCUCGUUGCGGGACUUAACCCAACAUCUCACGACACGAGCUGACGACAGCCACGCAACACCUGUCUUUGUGCUCCCUUGCGGGAGGGAUCUGCUUUCACAGAGUUACACGCGAUGUCAAGCCUGGGUAAGGUUCUUCGCGUUGCAUCGAAUUAAUCCACAUGCUCCGCCGCUUGUGCGGGCCCCCGUCAAUUCCUUUGAGUUUUAGCCUUGCGGCCGUACUCCCCAGGCGGGGCGCUUAAUGCGUUAGCUACGGCACGGAUCCCGUGGAAGGAAACCCACACCUAGCGCCCACCGUUUACGGCGUGGACUAC